rnacentral:rRNA from 1 species
AAUGAACGCUGGCGGCAGGCCUAAAACAUGCAAGUCGAACGCCCUAGCAAUAGGGAGUGGCGCACGGGUGAGUAACAUGUGGGAAUAUGCCUUCUGGUACGGAACAACGUUUGGAAACGAACGCUAAUACCGUAUGGUCCCUCCGGGGUAAAGAUUUAUCGCCAAAAGAUUAGCCCGCACUAGAUUAGCUAGUUGGUAAGGUAAUGGCUUACCAAGGCGACGAUCUAUAGCUGUUCUGAGAGGAAGAUCAGCCACACUGGGACUGAGACACGGCCCAGACUCCUACGGGAGGCAGCAGUUAGGAAUAUUGGACAAUGGGCGCAAGCCUGAUCCAGCCAUGCCGCGUGAGUGAUGAAGGCCUUCGGGUUGUAAAGCUCUUUAGCCGACGAAUAUAAUGACUGUAGUCGGAGAAUAAGCCCCGGUUAACUUCGUGCCAGCCGCCGCGGUAAGAC